rnacentral:rRNA from 1 species
UAGGGAAUCUUCCACAAUGGACGAAAGUCUGAUGGAGCAACGCCGCGUGAGUGAAGAAGGGUUUCGGCUCGUAAAACUCUGUUGUUAAAGAAGAACAUAUCUGAGAGUAACUGUUCAGGUAUUGACGGUAUUUAACCAGAAAGCCACGGCUAACUACGUGCCAGCAGCCGCGGUAAUACGUAGGUGGCAAGCGUUGUCCGGAUUUAUUGGGCGUAAAGCGAGCGCAGGCGGUUUUUUAAGUCUGAUGUGAAAGCCUUCGGCUCAACCGAAGAAGUGCAUCGGAAACUGGGAAACUUGACUGCAGAAGAGGACAGUGGAACUCCAUGUGUAGCGGUGAAAUGCGUAGAUAUAUGGAAGAACACCAGUGGCGAAGGCGGCUGUCUGGUCUGUAACUGACGCUGAGGCUCGAAAGUAUGGGUAGCAAACAGG